rnacentral:rRNA from 1 species
ACCUGGGCUUGACAUGCAGGGCAAAGCCGGUGAAAGCCGGCGCUCUACGGAGCCUGCACAGGUGGUGCAUGGCUGUCGUCAGCUCGUGCCGUGAGGUGUUGCCUUAAGUGGCGCAACGAGCGCAACCCUUGUCCUUAGUUGCCAGCGGGUAAAGCCGGGAACUCUAGGGAGACUGCCGGUGCCAAACCGGAGGAAGGUGGGGAUGACGUCAAGUCAUCAUGCCCCUUAUGUCCAGGGCUUCACACAUGCUACAAUGGCUCAUACAGAGGGCUGCGAGACCGCGAGGUGGAGCGAAUCCCUUAAAGUGAGUCUCAGUUCGGAUCGGGGUCUGCAACUCGACCCCGUGAAGUCGGAGUCGCUAGUAAUCGCAGAUCAGCAACGCUGCGGUGAAUACGUUCCC